rnacentral:rRNA from 1 species
CCUACGGGGGGCAGCAGUGGGGAAUAUUGCACAAUGGGGGAAACCCUGAUGCAGCGACGCCGCGUGGGCGAGGAAGUACCUCGGUAUGUAAAGCCCUAUCAGCAGGGAAGAAACAGGACAGUACCUGACUAAGAAGCCCCGGCUAACUACGUGCCAGCAGCCGCGGUAAUACGUAGGGGGCAAGCGUUAUCCGGAUUUACUGGGUGUAAAGGGAGCGUAGACGGUGCGCCAAGUCUGGAGUGAAAUGCCGCAGCUUAACUGCGGAACUGCUUUGGAAACUGGCGAACUAGAGUGCGGGAGGGGUA